rnacentral:rRNA from 1 species
UACAGAGGGGGCGAGCGUUGUUCGGAAUUACUGGGCGUAAAGGGUGUGUAGGCGGUUGUUUAAGUUUGGUGUGAAAUCUCCCGGCUCAACUGGGAGGGUGCGCCGAAUACUGAAUGACUAGAGUGCGGGAGAGGAAAGUGGAAUUCCUGGUGUAGCGGUGAAAUGCGUAGAUAUCAGGAGGAACACCGGUGGUGUAGACGGCUUUCUGGACCGUAACUGACGCUGAGACACGAAAGCGUGGGUAGCAAACAGG